UGGAACAAAGCUGAAAUGGCUGCCUGACCUGACUUAAAAAUUGGAUGGCAGUACAUCAGACUAGAAGAUUACAAGUAUUGAGGUGGACAAAAUGAAACCUGAGCCUACCAAAGCUGACAGAUUGCACAAGAAACACAUAAAUGCAGAUUGGAAGAUUCAUUCUCUGGAAAGUAGAAAAGGGCAUGUUACAUACUGUUAUCACUGCCAUGACAGAAACCAUAUUGAGGAGCUGGUCCACCUGUAGGAAGAAUUGCGCUAUUGGUUGGAGCAGCACUAUUACCCAGCCAUACACCAGCACUUAGUUUGUCAUAGGGAGCAUUUCUGAGCAGUUAUGGAGACCACUAACUAUGCAGUUGUUGCAGUGAAACUUGCACCAGUGUGUUUUCUGUGGAGAUAAAGAGAUAGUGUCCAGCAAUGAAGACCCAACUCAAGAUCUGACCUUGUAAGGCCAAUAUGAAAUAACUGUGUGGGAAAAUGGGAAAAACCUGCAGUCAGGAAUGCACGGAAAUCAUCAAAAGAACAGUGUUAAAUUAAUCUUGAAUAACUUGACAUUUAUUUUGUUUGACAUAUUUAUUCAUGGUGCAGUGAAAACAUUCUUUUUUCUCAUGGUUAUUUAAAUUUAGAAUUGAUAGGAGGGAACAUCACUAUGUAGUUUCAUGUUCAUAGUCAGAUCAA